rnacentral:tRNA from 1 species
ACCUGGGUAGCUCAGUCGGUUAAGCGUCUGACUUUGGCUCAGGUCAUGAUCUCGCAGUUCGUGAGUUCGAGCCUUGUGUCAGGUU